CAACUGGAUCUGAAGCGUAAUGAUGGUCUUCAGAAGGCCUCUCAUGGUGGCCUUGAUUCAGAGGUUUGAGAAGACUACCAAGCACCAGAGCCAGCUAACAGGUGGACCAAACAUCAAGCCAGAAUUCUGCAUGAGUCAGAAUCUUUUGAUAAUAUUGCCCAAUGCAACAAAUGGAAAAAGCAUGCUUUAUGACAACCUCAGCAGCAGAACCCAUGACUUUCUCCUGGGUAGACGAGACAAAAAAGUUUGGUAUCAACACCCAUCUAACAAUUAAGAAAGUUAUCUGCAGCCACACAUCCACUGUAUACCAAGUUAUGAUGAACAAUUAUGAAAAUGCAAAAGGAUUGAUAGAUCAGUAAACAAGCAACAAAAAGAUGGGUGCUCAUGGUGGCCUCCAAAUAAAUACAUGGACAGGCUGCUAAAGAGGGUCAGGAUGAUGGAGAUGCAAGAGCCAAAGACAGCACAGACCAAACACCAGGCCAGAAUACUGCAUGAGUCAGAUUGAGUAAUUUUCACUCUAGAGACCCUGGGGUGACCACCAAGGACGAAUGCAAACUCCAGUGAGUGUCUCUAAGGUAGAUCCUAAUGCAGAUGGAUGGAAUGUUGAUCCGCCUAACAUGCAAGGUAAAAGAGCAUUUGAUAGCAUAGUGGAUAAACAAAGCUUUUUUCAUUUUCAGAGCAUUUUCAAAAACAAC